AUUUUUAAUUUGAAUCUAGAAUGAAUGAUAAAAUGAAAUAAUAACUUUUUUAUUUUUAAAAUUUGAAUUUUAUUUUUAAGUUAAAAAGCUUAAGUUUAAAAAUUAGACGAGAAGACCCUAUAGAAUUUAAUUAAUAAUUAAAAAAAAUUUUUUUUUUAAUUUAAUUUAGUUGGGGAGAUUUUAAAAUUUAAAAAACUUUUAUUUUUUAAAUCAUUAUUUUUUGUUUAAAUGAUCUUUUUUUAAAAAAAGAAAGAUUAAAUUACCUUAGGGAUAACAGCAUUAUUUUAAAAAAAAGUACUUAU
rnacentral:rRNA from 1 species